CCCCGGAGCCCAGCUGGUGGCUAAUUGCUGACUUUGGCUUCUCCACCCAGGGACCCAGAGAGACAAAGUGCACCGAGCUGCACGCCCUGCUGGCUGGAGGGCCCCGCCGUCCUGUCUCCUCCGCCUCCCCGCCUCCUCACCCUUGGAAGUCGACCUCCCAUCCCCUGAGGGGUUCGAUUUUACGAGGGGGAACAAGGCCAUUUCCUGGCCGAGAGCUGUGAACAGGAGCAAAGAAAGGAAAACAUACGUCCAUACAAAGAUUUGCGCACGGAUGCUCACAGCAGUCUCAUUUUAAGCCAGCAGAUGAACAGAUACACAAAAUGUGGUCCCUCCAAACGGGAAUAUUACGCAGCCACGAAAAGGAGAGAAGCACUAACACCCGCUCCCACGUGGACGGACCCUGAGAGCACAGUGCUCAGUGAGAGACGCAGACGCAGGACACACAGUGUGUGAUUCCAUGGAUGUGAAACAUCCACAACAGGCCAGUCCACGUGGCAGAGAGUGGAUUCCUGGUUGUCAGGGGCUAGGGGACGGGGAGCAGGGGUAAUGGUAAUGAGG